rnacentral:rRNA from 1 species
GUGAAAACACGGUUCUCGAUUCGAUCACCGAAGUUAAGCAUCGUAGGGCCAGGUCAGUACUUAGAUGGGGGGACCGAGAACACCUGGUACUGUAAG